rnacentral:rRNA from 1 species
GAUGAACGCUGGCGGCGUGCUUAACACAUGCAAGUCGAACGGGAAUUAUUUUAUUGAAACUUCGGUCGAUUUAAUUUAAUUCUAGUGGCGGACGGGUGAGUAACGCGUGGGUAACCUGCCUUAUACAGGGGGAUAACAGUCAGAAAUGGCUGCUAAUACCGCAUAAGCGCACAGAGCUGCAUGGCUCAGUGUGAAACACUCCGGUGGUAUAAGAUGGACCCGCGUUGGAUUAGCUGGUUGGUGGGGUAACGGCCCACCAAGGCGACGAUCCAUAGCCGGCCUGAGAGGGUGAACGGCCACAUUGGGACUGAGACACGGCCCAGACUCCUACGGGAGGCAGCAGUGGGGAAUAUUGCACAAUGGGGGAAACCCUGAUGCAGCGACGCCGCGUGAAGGAAGAAGUAUCUCGGUAUGUAAACUUCUAUCAGCAGGGAAGAUAGUGACGGUACCUGACGAAGAAGCCCCGGCUAACUACGUG